rnacentral:rRNA from 1 species
AUAACUCCGGGAAACCGGAGCUAAUACCGGAUAGUUCCUUGAACCGCAUGGUUCAAGGAUGAAAGACGGUUUCGGCUGUCACUUACAGAUGGACCCGCGGCGCAUUAGCUAGUUGGUGAGGUAACGGCUCACCAAGGCGACGAUGCGUAGCCGACCUGAGAGGGUGAUCGGCCACACUGGGACUGAGACACGGCCCAGACUCCUACGGGAGGCAGCAGUAGGGAAUCUUCCGCAAUGGACGAAAGUCUGACGGAGCAACGCCGCGUGAGUGAUGAAGGUUUUCGGAUCGUAAAGCUCUGUUGUUAGGGAAGAACAAGUGCAAGAGUAACUGCUUGCACCUUGACGGUACCUAACCAGAAAGCCACGGCUAACUACGUGCCAGCAGCCGCGGUAAUACGUAGGUGGCAAGCGUUGUCCGGAAUUAUUGGGCGUAAAGGGCUCGCAGGCGGUUUCUUAAGUCUGAUGUGAAAGCCCCCGGCUCAACCGGGGAGGGUCAUUGGAAACUGGGAAACUUGAGUGCAGAAGAGGAGAGUGGAAUUCCACGUGUAGCGGUGAAAUGCGUAGAGAUGUGGAGGAACACCAGUGGCGAAGGCGACUCUCUGGUCUGUAACUGACGCUGAGGAGCGAAAGCGUGGGGAGCGAACAGGAUUAGAUACCCUGGUAGUCCACGCCGUAAACGAUGAGUGCUAAGUGUUAGGGGGUUUCCGCCCCUUAGUGCUGCAGCUAACGCAUUAAGCACUCCGCCUGGGGAGUACGGUCGCAAGACUGAAACUCAAAGGAAUUGACGGGGGCCCGCACAAGCGGUGGAGCAUGUGGUUUAAUUCGAAGCAACGCGAAGAACCUUACCAGGUCUUGACAUCCUCUGACAACCCUAGAGAUAGGGCUUUCCCUUCGGGGACAGAGUGACAGGUGGUGCAUGGUUGUCGUCAGCUCGUGUCGUGAGAUGUUGGGUUAAGUCCCGCAACGAGCGCAACCCUUGAUCUUAGUUGCCAGCAUUCAGUUGGGCACUCUAAGGUGACUGCCGGUGACAAACCGGAGGAAGGUGGGGAUGACGUCAAAUCAUCAUGCCCCUUAUGACCUGGGCUACACACGUGCUACAAUGGACAGAACAAAGGGCUGCGAGACCGCAAGGUUUAGCCAAUCCCACAAAUCUGUUCUCAGUUCGGAUCGCAGUCUGCAACUCGACUGCGUGAAGCUGGAAUCG